rnacentral:ncRNA from 2 species
AGAGUUAAACAGUACGUGAAAUUGUUGAAAGGGAAACGAUUGAAGUCAGUCGUGCCGGCGCGAAAUCAGCUUGACCGGUGGAAGGUCACAGGCUGUGGCGAGCCUCAAAACCGCCACAACUUGUGCUCUUCUGCCGGCCUCGUGCACUUUCGUGUCGGCUGGUUAACAUCAAUUUCGAUCGUCAUAAAAAGGCUGGAGGGAUGUGGCUCCUUCGGGAGUGUUAUAACCUUUGGCGGAAUGUGGUGGUCGGGAUUGAGGCUUGCAACGAAUACCUUCAGGGCUGUUCCACCUGGCCUCUCGUCGGCAUCCUGGCGACGACAGCUUGCUGACGUUGUUAGGACCGGCUUUCGAACAGGCUAGAGUGUGAGCAAAUUCGUUAAGGAUGUUAACGUAAUGGCUUUAAACGACC